rnacentral:rRNA from 1 species
GUUAUAGGGUCAAGCGAACAAGUGCAUGUGGUGGAUGCCUUGGCGAUUACAGGCGAUGAAGGACGCGGUAGCCUGCGAAAAGCUUCGGGGAGCUGGCAAACGAGCUUUGAUCCGGAGAUGUCCGAAUGGGGAAACCCGGCCCGAAUGGGUCAUCCCUGACUGAAUACAUAGGUCAGGGAAGCGAACGCGGCGAACUGAAACAUCUAAGUAGCUGCAGGAACAGAAAUCAACCGAGAUUCCCAAAGUAGUGGCGAACGAAAUGGGAAGAGCCUUGUACUCUUUAGCAGCAUUGUUAGCAGAACGGGAUGGAAAGCCCGGCCAUAG